AAGGUAUAAUAGAUGCAACCCCAUAGGGGUCUCACAGCGAUUUCAGCUUCUAGACCGUCGGAUCUUGUCAGCAGUUGUCAGCCAGUGAAUCUCGUCCGUUCCUUUUGGGCAGCAACCCGUCCUCUGGUUGGCUGCGUGGGCGUUUUCCCACUGGUUCCCCUCACUAGAGAAAGCCAUGGAACGGUGCUGGUAUACCCACUAUGGCUGUAUCUAGGUCCCACGUUCGGUUGGGUCCGCUCGCCAGUCGCUGCGUGUGGAUUUUGGGUUAGUCGUGCCUAGCUUUGACCCGUGGAAAAUAUCUUCUCGCCAAGGGGUCAUUUGGGUUUUUCGUCUCUCUACAUCCUAUCCCCACUCCGCCGAUCUCCCCAAUCCCCGUGUCCCGCAGCUCCCCCAAUGCGCGCCUCCUCCAAUCCCAUCCUCCUCCAAUUACCUCACGCCGCCGGCACCAGUUUGCCGCGCCGCCGCCGUCGGGAGGAAGCACUAGACUACCUUUCCCCCAACUCGCAGCAGCCGCCUGGCUCUCCCACAUUCAUCACCUCCCCUGAUUUCUUCCUCCUCCUGGCCCAAACCAUUAGCCUCCAUGUUGCUGUUGCACUCGUCCCCGUCGAGCUCCGCCUCCUUCAGCUUGGUAAGGGAUAAGGGAAUCGGCCGUUGGAGAAGGAUUCGGCGGUGCCAUGGUGGGGAUUCAUGGCAACCUCACAGAGGCGGGAGCCGCUACCGGCGAUGGAGAGGUGGAGCUCCACCGGCAAUGGCAUGUUCAGAUCGUUAGCAGAAGCACACUUAGCAGAGAUCUAUGGUGACCGACAAGGAGGAGAGGGACAGGACGGGGAAGAAGCCCCGCAUCCUCAAUGAUGAAGAAAAUGGGGAGGAUGCAAAGAUUGGCUUCAUCCAAGAGCUGCAGGUUUCUCUCUCUCUGGAUCCCCUUCUUCCUGAUGAACCAACUUGGUGCAGAUUGUUGUAUCCUUGGCCGGGAAAGGAGAUGUGUGAAGGUGCUUUUGCACAUAUUUGGGUUUGGCAUGUGAUUAGCUGUGUCCACUUCGACAGCAGUAUGAGGAGUGAGGUGUGCAAUUGCUCCUAGGUCCUAGCGGUUCAACUCAGAGAAUUGCGGCUGCAACAGGCACGCCGAGCCUGAUGGAGAGGGCUUGUUGUCGGAUGAUUUGGUUAGUGGGGUGGUCGACCAGCCUGGUGCCGAGAAGGCUCUACAUAUCAUAUCCUCUCCUACAUCGUUCUUCAUGGUGACGGUUGAAGAAGCAAAGGUGUCGGUUAUGCUGCCAGUAGCAGCAGGUGAGUUGUUCUGCUGCCAGUAGCAUCAGGUGGAUCACUAGCGUUGCUGGUUUGGCUGGAGAUGGCAGGGGCACGAGGAGGAGUGAGUGGUCGUGGCCAGCGUUCGGCCACUAUCAGCGCAGGCGAAGGUGGAGCAAUGGUGGAGAUUGCGGCAUUGCAUGAAGUGAACUCUAAAUGCUAUUAUGUGCCAUCAGCCUUCUCAUGCCCACCAGAAUAGAAAGUUUGAUGUUAUCGUACAAACACAAGUUCCUCCAUGUUGAAAGUUGCUUCAGGAAGGAUAACAGGUUUGCUAUGAACUUUGUCAACAGUUAAAUUCAUGCCUAUUGAACUUGCUUCAUGAAAAAUAGCAGGUAUUACCUGAAACUAGGGUAUUCAGAGAACACCUAAUAUAUAUGUGGACCAGUACUUGUUCUGGUGAUACAAGGUAAAGUUAUUUUUCAGUAACCCUUUCAGAGUAGCUUUUAUGCUUUUCUAAAUAUAUGUGGACAUCUAAAGAAUCAGUGUUUUAUAUAUUUCUUAGUUGUAAUCGUGCAUCAUUGUAUUUCAGUACCAUAGUAAUCAGUUUGUUGUUUAAUUUUUGCUACAUAAAUAUAUGUUAUAUAUAUGACCUAGCGCUCGCAGAUUAUAAAUUCAGAAUCUUUUUGUACUGUUCAUUCUCUUAUCUUCUUCCAAGUUUUCCAGAAAAAUAGUCUACUUUCAUGUCUCGAAGGAGAUACCCAAGCUUCCCAAGAAGGUUUCAUAGAGGUGAGGUAUUUGAACUAGAGAUCUGAUUAUAUGCUUUUAUACAGUCCACAGCCAGUAGCAAUGCAAGUUUUGUGUCUGCAUUUUUUUUUCUAUAUUUCCAUAGAGUUAUACUUUAGUAGUGCGUCUGCCUUAUGUGCCAUUCAGUGUUGAUGAUCAUAGUAUGAAGAAAAUGACAAUUCUUUUAGUAUGGAUUAGUUAAAUUAAACUCAUAAGAAUUUAUUUCAAAACAUGUCUGACAACAUUUUUAGUAGCUGCUCGGUGCCUCCAAAGAUAAACUCAUAUGAAUUUAUUUCCAUUCACACAAGAAAAUGAGGCAUAAUCUGUUUAUCUUCAUGUAUGUAGGAAAAAAAACAUGAUUGCUUGAUUGCAUAAUGUGUCUUUGCGAACAAAUCUGUUACCAUGUUAUGCAUGAAAUUAUUUGUAACUGCAGUUCAGAUGUGAUAGUACCAGGAGCACUUCCGUCAGUAAUCACAAAUGGUUUAGUUGUACUAUUUAUAUGUUAAAAAUCCUGUUCUAUAUCUUGCUUGCUCACUCUUUGGCUAGGCUCAUUUUUUCCCUUGAUAUAUAGAUGCAUGACUCUGCAUAGAACUCAUUACAGACCCUACUGUAUCUUCCAUAAUUACUGCAGCCCAUAUACAAGGUCAUGGAUUUGUUGUCCAUUAUUUGACUAUCUUGACAUAGCAUUAGAUUCUAACGAAUUAUAAUUGAAUUUAUGGUUUUCUCUGUUGCUAGGUCUGGGCAACCUAUCUGAUAAGUUAUUUGAGGAAAUGCCCAUGAGAGAUUAGAAUGCGAGUAUACACACUAAUAAUACUAUGCUUUAUAUCAAGUUAUCAACUAUGUUUGCUCAAAUGAUCCAAGAAAUGAAUGAACAACUGGAAUGCAAAAUAUUUGCUUGAAAGCAGUAGAAUUUUAAUAAAUAAUUUACCUCCUCUAGGUAUAAUCUAAAUCACUGGUUUAUAAAAUGGUUAAAACCCAAAAUCCAAUAUCAAAAUUGGUUGGUGUGUAGCUUCAUUAUGUGCAACCUGAUUGCUGUUCUACCAUGGUGAUGACGUGAAAUAGACCACCUUUUACUAGGCUUUAUUGUUCAAUAGGUAUACGUAAAAGGAUAUUAGUUUCUUGAGGCAUUAAUUCUUGCUGACAGUGGUGAGUUGAGAAAAGUAAGACAUGUGGGCCAUGAGCUCCAAGGUAAUUUUGGGGGAAUUUACAGUGUGUGAACCCCGCCCAUUACUUAUUGCAGUUAUAGGCUAUCUUUCUAUGUAGGCUAUUUUUGUGCCAGCUUUAAGCAUUAUUUCUCUUUGUGUUGUGCCUAUAAUGUGACAAUAUAUGACACUCUACGGUCUCCACUAUUAUGCAGAUCAGUGUCUUAUUGGAAACAAAUGCCCCUACAGAAAACUCAAUUGGCAAAUAGGCAUAUAUUCUAUUUUAUGACUCCUUUCUCAUUAUAUUUCAAUUGUUUUUUUAACUGAUCUACUCUUUUAACGUGGUUCCAUUUUGUAGGUUCCGAUAAAUUUCUGUCUGCCAUGUCUGUCUGUCUGCCGAGUGAUAUUGAAACUUGAAUUUUCAAGUUUGGUGGUUCGGAUUUUAGAAUAUGAUGUGGGUGCUUAUCAGUGAUCUAUGCCUUGAAUCCGUAAAGCAUAUUGUUUGGCAAGUAAAACUGGGGAUACUCCCAUAUUUUCUUAAUUUUCAUCCAAUUAUUUGUUGUAUUCUAAUGUAGUUUUGCAGAUUGAGCUAGAAUUAAUAAUCUAUCACCAAACCUGAGUUCUGGAGCAUGUUUGUUGCUAGCAAGACCAAAACAUGAUUCAAAUGAAACUGUAAACUAACUUACAGAUAACCUCCUUUAUUUCUUCAUCGCUUUGGAAACUCAAGUUGUAAGUGCAUAGUUAUUUACUCGGUGAAAGAAAUUUAGGUCUUCCUUCAGAUUUCUUUUUUGCUUUCUCACUAAUUAUGUCAUGACUUACAUCAUGGUACUUCUGCUAGGUCUUCUAGGACCAAAUCUACAUUACAUUAUUUACAAGUGGCUGUUAAUUAAUAUCGUGUACGACUGUGCUGAGUCUAAAUUAUAGUCAGAUCCAAAUGCAUUGUUUCUUGUUACCGUUCUGAUGCCCCUGUUUUUUACGGCUUGCAGACAUUAUAAUUUCAUUGGUUUACCCCAUUAGGAGUUCUUGAUUUGGCAAAAGUACUGUUUGGUCCUUCUCUUGUAUUCAUGUGACCUGGUACGUUAUCCAUCGAACAGCAACAUCAAAGAUGUCCAGGAUUCAUCCGUGCCGAGAGCUCUCCUCCUGGUUUGAUCUGGAGAGGUAUUUUUUCAAAAUGGGAAUCUAGAGAGCUUGGUUCAACUGUAAUUGAUGAUCCAAAUGAACCACCCACAUCAUCUACCACAGCUUCAACAGAUAAGAGGUGAUAAGAUUGGGCGAGAUAGAAGAGAUCAUGAGAAACAUGAUGAAUAUUACUGCGCCGCUCUUCACCUUCAACUGCGACCUCGCUGAACUCAGGUUUUCUAUCAAACAUUUGUAGACGCAUGCCGCUGUCGCAGAAAGCUCAGGCUCAGCAAGAUGCGCAGGGCAAGAAGACCUAGGUUAGGAGCAUAGUUUCACCAUGGGGGAAGGCAGUGAAAAAAUCAACGGCUCGGAUCGGCUGGUAGAUGAAUUCGAUGUAAAGUAAUAUGUUUAUGCAAUUAUACUUUUUAUGUAUGUUUUAUCUUUGAGGAGUCUAAAAAUGUAUUUAUAUUAUGUGGAGGCAAAUUUUCUUUUGAUAUUCUCACUUCCACAGCUGAUUGGAACUCAUGGUCUCACCUGUUUAUCUAUUGGCCAUGGUGAACCCGAUUCGGAUCAUCCGACUGUUUUAUGCAACUUUGUUGCAUGCAGCCCUGUUAUCAAACCUUGACUCAAUUUAUGUAGAUUGUACUUAGAAAUUCCAUCAUUAUGUUAUGGACUUAGGAGUUAGGACAGCAUUAGUAUUAGAUGAACAAUACCUGUUUUUAUCCAUUUAUGUUGAAAUCUAUGCUACAACAUUAAAUUUAUACACCCUCCAUCAGACGUCUUCAGAAGAUAGUGUCAAAUAACCUAACUCCAAAAUGCAGUUACAUGUACACUCAGUGGCAACCUUGACCUACACAACUUGACACAUACCAAGACUUGAAGCUAACUAGAGUUAGAUUUUGUGUGGACACUUUGCCAAAUUGAUUAAGUUCUUUUGAAGAGAACUGAAACAAUUCCAAGUCAGCGUUAGAAAUACCAGUCAGAUGAGUAACUAAAAUAAGCAAUAUAUCAAACUCUAUCGUCCUUUUAAGAUUGUAUCUUGCAUAUACAGAAUAAGUUGAGUCAAAGGGUAAUGCACAUCGGUCCAAUGACCCAUGUCAUUUUUUAACCUUUCAUUUGUUGAUCUCCUGUUCCGGAGUCAAAAUUACCACUCCAGGGAUGCCCUUGCAGCCAAAUAUUUAUUUAAUAAAUGAUGCGUGUAUUUUGAUUGGGUCACUGCGGUUGUUCAUGGUCUGUAGCUGUGCAAUGACCUUUAUGAUUCAAUGUAACAAUUCAGCCAUGUACUUCUUGGCUUACAGCAUAAGGAAUUAUUUAGGCAGCUCUAGAGUUUGGCAUGCUCCAUCAUUUUGAAUUAUUUACCAUCAGUCUUUGGUCAUGUGUUUACAGAAGAAGAGCAAUCAUAGAUCCUUUAUGUUCUUAAGUAAGUAUAUUAAUCUAUCUUCCUACAUAUUUUUUUAGUGAAUCCUUGUUGCAUAAUACUGGUAACAUAUAUGGUUUGUAUGAACUGACAAAAGAUUGUGAAAUUAUCUUUCUGCUCUAGGUUCAGUGAACUGCACAUUAGUGUGUCGUGGAAGAGCAAUGUGCUUUGCUCUAAAUUUGUACGGCUGAUGCUAUAUGAAAUAUAUUUCUCUACAUUCUAUAUGUCUACUUAUUUGCCCGAGUACUUAUUUUCCAUGUUAUAUUAAUGAUGUUUAACAUAGUGUUUUACCAUCCAUUUGUGAGCUGAUAAUUCUUCUGUGUAUCCAGUAAACUGAAACGGAUAAGUGUUUGUGCUUCAUUUGAUGUUUCCUUAUCAUUAUGCUUAAUGUAGUGUUUUCUUAUCAUAUUUAAUGUGGUGUUUUCUUAUCAUCAUAUUUAAUGUAGGUAUCGCAGUCCAAGGGAGUUUGCAAAAUGUUGUCAAGUUAGCUUGCCACUACCAACACCGGAACUCACUCUGUUAGGCUCUUUGACCGUGCAGUUGUGCUUCUUUGGAAACUCCAUAUUAGCAAUGUCACUGGCAUCUUAUCUGAUUCCUGCAAGAGGCCUUUUUUCUUAUAGACUAUCAUGUUGUUCUGGGGAAAAUCUGAACAUACUCUUCACAGCAUAUAGAGGAAAUGCCCGUUGCAUGGUCUAAGGGAAGUGACCCUGGUGAAAUUUUUAUUUCGUGUAGAUGACAUGCUUGCUGAAAUUAUACUUUUUUUCCUC